rnacentral:rRNA from 1 species
UACGUAGGGUGCGAGCGUUGUCCGGAAUUAUUGGGCGUAAAGGGCUCGUAGGCGGUUUGUCGCGUCGGGAGUGAAAAUCCAGGGCUUAACUCUGGACUGGCUUCCGAUACGGGCAGACUAGAGGUAUGCAGGGGAGAACGGAAUUCCUGGUGUAGCGGUGAAAUGCGCAGAUAUCAGGAGGAACACCGGUGGCGAAGGCGGUUCUCUGGGCAUGAUCUGACGCUGAGGAGCGAAAGUGUGGGGAGCGAACAGG